rnacentral:misc_RNA from 1 species
CGAAGAGUAUGGUUGCCAAUUUUUGGUGCCAACUCCCACCCUUUGUGUACCAAAAUUAUACAUCUUUGGCAGAGCGUUUUUGCUCAUGCUAAAACCACUGACAGUUGAAAGGCUGUGAGUGAGUCUUUGCCAAAGUAUUUUCAAAUACUCUUUUUUACAAUUAGUUGUCUGAGUAAAUAUACAAUAAAACA